GGCCCACCUUGCGUUGGUGAAGAGGAGGCACAUUUGAAUGACUGUUUUACAAGUUAGAUUUAAAGGUAGAGAAGUAAAGUUUAUCUAAAGUACUGGACAAUGGAGCAAGAGCCCCAGAGAAAGAUCGUUUUUCAAAGAGGACUGUAAAUUUGUCACCACUUUACAUGUUUGGACAUGUCUGUGGACAUGUCUAUGGACAUGUCAGGAUAAAACAGUGAAUCUGGACGUUAAGAAUUUCGUAUAAAGGAGACACGAGAGCGACCUGAAGACAGCAUGAAUCUGGAGGUGGAGUUGAUGACUUAUUAUGAUUACCCUGGAGACAAUCUAAUCUAAGAACUAGCCGGACCCCCAGGACACAGAGCACAGGAUGGCCAAUCUGCCCAGACCUAGUCCACUGCGUAGUGGGCGGAGACGGUGCCACUCUGACUUCAUGGACUGGAUCUGCGCUUGGAUGCUUGGACCUCGGAACC